rnacentral:rRNA from 1 species
AUGAGUAAACGCCUUUGCCCGAUCAUGUCGUGGAACGUCCGCGGCCUUAACCAGCCAGCAAAACGCGCGGCGGUCUGCGAGGUAGUCACCGCUAGCAAAGUAGCGAUUCUGUGCCUGCAGGAAACUAAGAUCGACGUCUGGACCCCAAGCAUCGUCAGAGAAAUUGGGGGCACUGCCCUGACUGAAUGUAUAGUACUUCCCGCGAUCGGCUCCCGCGGCGGAGCAGCCAUUUUCUGGAACAGCGACCUGGCCAACAUUGUCUCGCAAGCUGUAGGCGAAUUCGCGAUCACUGCGAAGGUGACGCUCAUCCAGCAAUCCGCAAGCUUCUGGCUAACGACAGUCUACGGCCCAACUGAAGACAAUAGGAAAGCUGCUUUCCUCGCUGAAUUAGCUAGAACGGCCCCCCGCCUGCUGCUCCAUGGCUCAUCAACGGCGAUUUUAAUCUCAUCUACGAGGCGAGAGACAAAAACAACAACCACCUCAACCGCAGGAUCAUGGGCAUGUUUAGACGAGCCAUCGACAGCGCCGGCUUAA